rnacentral:rRNA from 1 species
ACGUAAGGGGCUAACGUUGUUCGGUGUCACUGGGCUUAAAGGGCGCGUAGGCGGUCUGUUAAGUCAGGUGUGAAAUACCUCGGCUUACCCGAGGAGUUGCGCCUGAAACUGGCAGGCUUGAGGACUGAAGGGGUGGGAGGAACUCCAGGUGUAGCGGUGAAAUGCGCAGAUAUCUGGGGGAAGGCCGGCGGCGAAGGCGUCCCACUGGUCAGUUCCUGACGCUGAGGCGCGAAAGCGUGGGGAGCAAACAG